rnacentral:tRNA from 1 species
AGGGGUAUAGCUUAGUGGUCAUGCAUUUGAGUGCGGAUUAGGAGGUCCUUAGUUCAAAUCUGGGUGCCCCCU